AUACGUAGGGGGCGAGCGUUGUCCGGAAUGAUUGGGCGUAAAGGGCGCGUAGGCGGCCCGGUAAGUCUGGAGUGAAAGUCCUGUUUUUAAGAUGGGAAUUGCUUUGGAUACUGUCGGGCUUGAGUGCAGGAGAGGUAAGUGGAAUUCCCAGUGUAGCGGUGAAAUGCGUAGAGAUUGGGAGGAACACCAGUGGCGAAGGCGACUUACUGGGCCGUAACUGACGCUGAGGCGCGAAAGCGUGGGGAGCGAACGGGAUUAGAUACCCUGGUAGUCCACGCUGUAAACGAUGAAUGCUAGGUGUAGGGGGUAUCGACCCCUCCUGUGCCGGAGUAAACGCAAUAAGCAUUCCGCCUGGGGAGUACGGCCGCAAGGUUGAAACUCAAAGGAAUUGACGGGG
rnacentral:rRNA from 1 species